CUUGGUCAUUUAGAGGAAGUAAAAGUCGUAACAAGGUUUCCGUAGGUGAACCUGCGGAAGGAUCAUUACCGAAUUGUCAACACGAGUUGUUGCUGGUCCUCAACCGGGGGCAUGUGCACGCUCUGUUUACACAUCCACUCACACCUGUGCACCCUCUGUAGUUCUGUGGUCUGAGGGGCUCUGUCCUCUCGCCGUGGUUCUAUGUCUUUACACACGCACUGUAAUAAAGUUUCAUGGAAUGCAUGACGCGUUUAACGCAAUACAAUACAACUUUCAGCAACGGAUCUCUUGGCUCUCGCAUCGAUGAAGAACGCAGCGAAAUGCGAUAAGUAAUGUGAAUUGCAGAAUUCAGUGAAUCAUCGAAUCUUUGAACGCACCUUGCGCCCUUUGGCUAUUCCAGAGGGCAUGCCUGUUUGAGUAUCAUGAACACCUCAACUCUCACGGUUCGCCGUGAUGAGCUUGGACUUUGGGGGUCUUGCUGGCCUGUGGUCGGCUCCUCUCAAAUGAAUCAGCUUGCCAGUGUUUGGUGGCAUCGCAGGUGUGAUAACUAUCUACGCUUGUGGUUUUCCACCAGGUAACCUUCAGUGAUGGAGGUUCGCUGGGGCUCACAAAUGUCUCUCCUCAGCGAGGACAGUUUCUUGAAUGUUUGAUCUCAAAUCAGGUAGGGCUACCCGCUGAACUUAAGCAUAUCAAUAAGCGGAGGA
rnacentral:rRNA from 1 species